GGAAUACCUUCAUGCUGUGCAGAGCCCAGGACUGUUAAACGUCCUUUUUCAUCUCUUCCUGAAGGUGCUGCCAAGUCCAUACCUGGAGCAGGAAAUGCCUCUUCUUCACUCCUUCUGCAACAGUCAUUUAUGUGUUGGACUGGGACUGAAAAUACAUUUCACAGCUAAAAUUGCCACAGCUAAGGAGGCCUUCAUUUCUGGCAAUUCUAAUCAUCUUCAUUGUACAGCUGUAUGGAUUCCAUGUUUCACUCUGAGAGAAAUAAAAUUGCAAAUAAAUACCAUCUUUCCUAAUGUCUCUGUAAAUGCCAGAUUUAGUAACCAUUAACCAAAUGUUGGAGUCCAUAAA
rnacentral:lncRNA from 12 species